AUGAGUGGGAACAGAGACGUGUUCCGGCCUUGAGAGUCCAUGGGGAGGCCUGCGUGUGCUGUGCACGGGUUUGGGUGUCUGGGGUGGGUGCUGGGCACGUGCGUCCAGCCCGGGGAAUUCUUUCUUUGUUCUUAGCGGAGGUCCCCGCAGGGGCAGAGAGAUGGGGUGUCUCUUCCUCCCCCUUAAAUCCACAUCUCCCGGUUCCUGGGCUGCUUCCCCAAAGGGAAGACAUGAGUGGGAGAUGGUCACCAUCCCUUUUUGAAGGAAACAGCUGGGGUGCUGUGGUGUGUGUGUGUGUGUGUGUGUGCAUGCAUCUAAGUGUGUGUCUUUGUAGGGCAUCCUCUUGAGUGUACGCUGGGCCCAAAGAAAACUUUUGAUCUCCCAGAGAAGGCCUGGAGGCGAAGCCCCGAAGGCAGCAAGCCCUGUGCCCACUACUGAGGACAGCAAAGGAGGCAUGAUCCAGGCCUGGCCAAUCAGAGUGCCCCAUCCUGGCGCUGUGGUUGGUUCAGAGAUGGGCAUGUGACCCCCUUGGCCAGAAGCUUUUCUGCCGGAACGGCUUUGGAACCUUCACUACCACGUUCUUUCUUUGGCUUUUGAGCCAUAAAUCCCUUAUCGACUUUAGCUGGUUUGCAUUUUCACUGUUCUGCGAUUGGGAGAGCCCUGAGCAGAUCAGAAAUAAUAAAGUACUUCCUGUGUGGCAGGUUCAUUGA